rnacentral:lncRNA from 1 species
AAAAUGUAUUCCCUUUAACCGUGGGCAAAUUGCUUAACCUCCCUGCUCAGUUUCCCCCAUGAAAACUGGAGGUAAUGAUAAUGAGCAUGCUUGGGUAAAGCAGCUGGUACAUAGUAAGUACCUAUAUGUGUAUGACAUUGGGGAAAUUACUCAAUAAGAAUUUGUUCAAGGUCACACAACUAAUGGUGGCAGAGUCAGGAUGUCUUUCCAGGUUCUGGAGCUCAUAUCUUAACUAAAAAUGUUCCAAUUUAUUACAACAAUUAGAUUGUAGUCUUUCUAAUACAUUUAGCUAAGAAUUAGUAUGUAUUUUAUUGGGUUUCACACAACUCUUUAAAAUAGUAUUAAUUGUUCUCACUACCCAUUGUUGAUUGAAUCUUUACGGCCUAGAACCAGAUACUUGAUACACAAUGAAGACCUGGAAGUGUCCAGAAUAGAAAUGUCUGGAGCUCUGCUUGGUGGACAUGAGCAGACAAUUACUGACUCGUAGCCCCACAAGGGACUUGAUCUUAUGAGGAAAGAUACAUGGUAGGGAUCCGACAAUUGCCAAUGAACUAUUUGCUUCACAGAAGAAAAGAAGCUACAAAACUAAGAAAAAUAGCCUUCCUCUCUCUGCUUUCACACCUCAUUUUGACUAUUUACACAAAGCUCACCAUGAUCCAUGCAGUAAACCAGCUUCCAAUUGUCAGCAUCCGCAACUCUUUGCUUGAAGACUUUCACUGCCCACCAGAGCUCCUUUGACCUACAUUGUGAAGCAAAUAAGAAAAGCUGAAGAAUUAUCACCCUUGGGAAUAGCCCUCAAUGUCAGAAAGGAGCUGAUGGAUAAAUACCCCAGGUCCUUUGUGUGGGAUAAUUCUGUGGUGUAUGUUCUAUACUUUCUCCCAGAGUUCCCUAGUAAAAUCCAGUUGCCCACAGCGGUUAUUGACUUGAUGGCUCACCGUUUUUGGCUUCCUCCUCCUCCUCCUCUACUACUUCCCAUCAGUUUCAUCUCCUGAUAAUUCCUCACAAUAUUUUGUUUUCAGGGUCUGCCUCCGGGACCUUUCAUUCUGUCAGUGAGAAUGACAGAAGAUCAGCAAGAGAAGUAAAUGAGGUGAACCUGAUUUUGAUGGGGAGCACCAGUGGUUCAGGCAUGCCAGGAGAACAUAAUGGAUAGUGAUGCUAUGUAUGGGCAAGACAGCCCAGCCCAGACCGAGGUCCUAUGGAGAAAGGAAGGCUGAGUAUGCUCUGGCUCCCAAUAGUCAAGCUGAGGCUAGAAUUUAGGGUGUCAAUUCCAAGGAGAGAUAACAGGCCAUAUGGGGAAUUCAAUCAGAUGAACUAGGUUGGUAGUCAAAAAAAAAAUGUAUCAAAAAGCAAAAGUGAAAGAUGUGGAAAUAAACUGAAUUCAAACCAGGAUUUAUAUGGCUAA